UUAAAUGUUGCAUCCCUUGGAUAGGCAGGUCUUUAUGAAACAGACACUAAAAGUGGGAAUGCUCUUGAGGGGUUGGGGUGGCCACUGUUCAGCUUUGUCUCAGGGCUGCACAGCACAUGUGUAACAUCUGUAAUGGGGUUGCCCUGGUUUCAUCUCCCCGGCUUGUUUGGGUGCAGGGAUAGUGAGCAACACUGUAGUACUUAGUAUGUCAGGACUAGUGGUGAGCCAUGGAGGCGUUGGGUCUGGGGUAAAGAGUCAUGGCUAUCUCAGAGAUAGAACAUAUGAUUUCAUCCCAUUCUUUCAUGAGCAAACUGGAAACAGAAGGAAAUUCUAAACAUACAAGUCCCUCAGCUAGGGCUGGGGGACGUGGCUUAUUGAUGGAAUAUUUGCCUAAUAUUUGCAAAGCUAGAUUUGAUUCCCAGUGCUGUCAGGGUGAGGGGAGUGGCUGCACAGGCAACAGCAUAAAGCUCUUGAUUUGGCUGUUCCUUCCACUUGGUGCUGUAAGCUGUGUUCAGGCAGUUGGGAAGAAAAUGAUAAGAUUGUGUCUAGGAAGUUGCAAAUCUAUAAGGCAGCCAGUGAGUGAAUAAAGUUGUAGGGUAGAAAUGAUAGAGUUCUCUAGAACAGAACUUAAUGAAUUAUAAAAGGGAUUUAUUGGACUUGCUUGUAGACUGCAGUACAACUGGUCCAACAGUGGCUGUCUACCCAUGGAAAGUCCCAAAGCCUGGAUGUCUUGGUCUUCAGUAGUACAAUCCCAAGGAAAUGGUUCUCUUGCCAGCAAGAGCAAGAUGGCAAAGAGCAAGUUUCUGUCUUGCAUGUGCUUUAUAUAGGCUGCUAGUAGAAGGCCCAGAUUAAAGAUGGAUCUUCCCACCUCAAAAGAUGGGUUAAAAGUGUGUCUUAUGGGUUGGGACAGGAUAUUAAGCUAGUUGUACCACCUAAGUGAAUUUGGGCCUCCUAAAAAGUCUAGUGGUAUAGUUCAAACAUGCUAAUUUUGUGUGCUGCAGGGAGCCUUGAAUAGCCAAAAUCUUCAAAGUAAGACGUUUAAGGUCUAGGUAGCUGCCAAAGCUGUGAUAAGAGUACAGUAGGUAUGGACUGAGUAGAGAUGGGAAUUGAAAGAGAAGCCCUUGACUAGGGAGAUAAGGUUGAUAGGCAUUAAAGAAAGCAUCUAAAUGAAACAAUGUUGAGACAGGAAUGACAACAGACCUCUACCUCACUCCAUUCUUCUCACUCAAUCUAGGAUAGAUAAAAAGAUGUACUGAUUAUAAGAAAUAAAAGUCAGGACUGGAGGGAUGGCUCAGUGGUUAAGAGCACUCACUGCUCUUCCAGAGGUCCUGAGUUCAAUUCCCAGCAACCACAUGGUGGCUCACAACCAUCUGUAAUGGGAUCUGAUGCCCUGCUCUGGUGUGUCUGAAGACAGCAACAGUGUACUUACAUAUAUAAAAUAAAUAAAUACAAACC
rnacentral:lncRNA from 1 species